GAGGUAAUGGCUCACCAAGGCGACGACGGGUAGCCGGCCUGAGAGGGCGACCGGCCACACUGGGACUGAGACACGGCCCAGACUCCUACGGGAGGCAGCAGUGGGGAAUAUUGGGCAAUGGAGGGAACUCUGACCCAGCGACGCCGCGUGCGGGAUGAAGGCCUUCGGGUUGUAAACCGCUUUCAGCAAGGAAGAAGCGAAAGUGACGGUACUUGCAGAAGAAGCACCGGCUAACUAUGUGCCAGCAGCCGCGGUAAUACAUAGGGUGCAAGCGUUGUCCGGAAUUAUUGGGCGUAAAGAGCUCGUAGGUGGUUCGUCACGUCGGAUGUGAAAAUCUGGGGCUUAACCCCAGACCUGCAUUCGAUACGGGCGAGCUAGAGUGUGGUAGGGGAGACUGGAAUUCCUGGUGUAGCGGUGGAAUGCGCAGAUAUCAGGAGGAACACCAAUGGCGAAGGCAGGUCUCUGGGCCAUUACUGACACUGAGGAGCGAGAGCGUGGGGAGCGAACAGGAUUAGAUACCCUGGUAGUCCACGCCGUAAACGGUGGGCACUAGUUGUGGGAACCUUCCACGGUUUCUGCGACGCGGCUAACGCAUUAAGUGCCCCGCCUGGGGAG
rnacentral:rRNA from 1 species